rnacentral:lncRNA from 1 species
CAUAAGGAAUCAAGAGCUUUAUCCUAUCUAAGCAUGGUCAAAUGUCACUCAACAAAUCAUAUAAAAUUGAGAAUCUUCUCAACUUAGAUGUCCUUUUUGAGCACUCAACUUUAAAGAUAAAGAUCAAGCGUGGACGACCAAUGAAAUAGAGGAGUCCUUAUUUUAACAUGUGUAUUAUGAUCUUUAAAGAGUCCUUGUAAUCUUUAAG